GACGAACGCUGGCGGCGUGCUUAACACAUGCAAGUCGAACGAAGUGGCGAACGGUUGAGUCUUUCGUGGGUCAUCUGCCCUCCUUUUUCGUAUAAGCCUUGGAAACUGGGUCUACUACCGAUCAAAUGGGGAUGGGCUCGGGGCCUGUCUGCGUGUUGGUGGGUCAAUGGCCUACCAAGGCGGUGACGGGUAGCGGGCCUGAGAGGCGGAACGGCAACUGUGGGACGGAGAUAACGCCCAGGCGCGUAAGCGAGGGAGCAGUGGGGGAUAUGGCAGAAAGGGUGAAAGACUGAUGCAGCGACGCCGCGGGGGGGAUGAAGGCUUUCGAGUUGUAAACCUGGGGAGGUAGCGAAAGGGUAGGUGGAGAAGAAGCACCGGCUAACUACGUGCCAGCAGCCGCGGUAAUAC
rnacentral:rRNA from 1 species